ensembl:lncRNA
GCCUGGGCUCAGUGCAGAGGCACCGGGGAGCCCCUGCAGUGCAGAGCCCCCCUGAGCCUCUACUGCUUCCCUUCCCAGCUGGGCAGGGACACCCUCAGCUUCUCCUUCACGGUGGAGCGGGACAUCCCCGUGCGGGGCCUGAAGCCAGCCCAGGUGAAGGUCUAUGACUACUACGAGACAGAUGAGUUUGCCACACAGGAAUACAGUGCUCCCUGCGCUACAGAGGAAGCAGACCAGGGAAAUGAUUGAAGAACACUCCCAGAUGCUGGAACCUGCCUGCCUCACCACCACCACCACAGCAUGACAUUAAUAAUGCCUGCAUGGAAUGGAAAGUGAACUUUACAAAUAAAUUAACUGUACUCACCAAUGAUUUUUGAACAAUUUGUUCUCCAUUCUGAUUUUUCCUGCUCAUCUUUCAGUCACAGCUUUAAUCUCCCUUGCUUCUUAGGUUAAAGAGUAACCCAUCUAACAAUGCCUGUGUGCAGGGAAAUAAGGCUAACAAGUGAGGGGGGAAAAGAAAGAAGACAGAAUGAUCUAAGUGGGGGUCAGCCUUUCUAAUGUAUCUGUCUCUGUGUUAUGUUGUCUGAACUUAUCAUCUGAGAUAGAGUCUAACCAAUGGGGAAGGAUAGGUAGUUCUUGGAACCACUUCUCUCCCCUGGCUUACAAACCAUAUCCUCAAUUGAAUUGGUCUCUGCAGAGGCCUGUCCAUGUGUCCCACCAUUAGGCGGCCUGGAAGAUCAACUAAUGUUACCUGAAAUUCAGCCUCUGUGACCUUCCCUGUAGACACCCCUUCUGGGAUGGUUUCUUGUUUGUAGAAGAGUGGGAGGAGACAGAGUCUGCCCUCUUCAAUGAUUAGAGAGUGCCAGGGGGGCAGGAGGGAUGUGUGCAUGCAUCGUGCCUUCAGCUGCUGCCUUACAAUGGCUUGUUCUCCAGUUGAAGCUUGAGCCUUCUUGCGGAAGUUUCCAUUAUCUCAUGUCUGCUACUUCUGGGAGAUUCCCAAGGAGAAGCUAGUGGCAUUUGCCACUAACCUACCUGCCUAUGUCUAGUUUAAAUGGUACAUUCAUUUAAAUCACAUAGCUGCUUUGAUGAAACUGUCCAUAGGCCUCUUAGACACCCCCAG